UUAGGAGAAAGUGUACCGUCAUGGCAGCGCAGGCGGUGAAAUGUUCCUCCUGCAGGAUGUUUGAGGUAGGGGUGACCACCGAUACUCCUGCCGACUUCGUCUGCAGGAAAUGC